rnacentral:rRNA from 1 species
ACGAACCGGACGAACGUUAUUCGGAAUCACUGGGCUUAAAGAGUGCGUAGGCGGCUUGGUAGGUUGGGUGUGAAAUCCCACAGCUCAACUGUGGAACUGCGCUCAAAACCACCAGGCUUGAGGAAGGCAGAGGUGAGCGGAACUGAUGGUGGAGCGGUGAAAUGCGUUGAUAUCAUCAGGAACACCGGUGGCGAAGGCGGCUCACUGGGCCUUUUCUGACGCUGAGGCACGAAAGCUAGGGUCGCGAACAGG